UACGUAGGGUGCGAGCGUUGUCCGGAAUUAUUGGGCGUAAAGAGCUCGUAGGCGGUUUGUCGCGUCUGCCGUGAAAGUCCGGGGCUCAACUCCGGAUCUGCGGUGGGUACGGGCAGACUAGAGUGAUGUAGGGGAGACUGGAAUUCCUGGUGUAGCGGUGAAAUGCGUAGAUAUCGAGAGGAACACCUGCGGCGAAGGCGGGUUGCUGGGCUGAUACUGACGCUGAGGCGCGAAAGCCAGGGGAGCGAACGGG
rnacentral:rRNA from 1 species